rnacentral:rRNA from 1 species
AUUGAACGCUGGCGGCAUGUCUUACACAUGCAAGUCGAACGGCAGCACGGGAGCAAUCCUGGUGGCGAGUGGCGAACGGGUGAGUAAAGUAUCGGAACGUGCCCAGUCGUGGGGGAUAACGUAGCGAAAGUUACGCUAAUACCGCAUACGAUCUAUGGAUGAAAGCGGGGGAUCGCAAGACCUCGCGCGAUUGGAGCGGCCGAUAUCGGAUUAGGUAGUUGGUGGGGUAAAGGCCCACCAAGCCGACGGUCUGUAGCUGGUCUCAGAGGACGGCCGGCCACACUGGGACUGAGACACGGCACAGACUCCUACGGGAGGCAGCAGUGGGGAAUUUUGGACAAUGGGCGAAAGCCUGAUCCAGCCAUGCCGCGUGCAGGAUGAAGGCCUUCGGGUUGUAAACUGCUUUUGUACGGAACGAAAAGGACUGCCCUAAUACGGUGGUCCCAUGACGGUACCGUAAGAAUAAGCACCGGCUAACUACGUGCCAGCCGCCGCCGUAA